rnacentral:rRNA from 1 species
UGAAUACGAGACGCUAAGGCGUCGAAGUAGUGUAUGUCAUACUUCCAAGAAAAGCUUGCACUGUCAUAGAUAAAAAACGCCUGUACCAUAACCGACACAGGUGGGUAGGUAGAGUAUACUAAGGGGCGCGAGAUAACUCUCUCUAAGGAACUCGGCAAAAUAACUCCGUAACUUCGGGAGAAGGAGUGCCUUAUUCGUAAGGUUGCAAUAACAAGAUCCAAGCAACUGUUUAUCAAAAACACAGGUCUCCGCUAAGUCGUAAGACGAUGUAUGGGGGCUGACGCCUGCCCAGUGCCAGAAGGUUAAAGAAGUUGGUUAGCAAUUGCGAAGCUGAUAACUGAAGCCCUGGUGAACGGCGGCCGUAACGAUAACGGUCCUAAGGUAGCGAAAUUCCUUGUCGGGUAAGUUCCGACCCGCACGAAAGGCGUAAUGAUUUGGAUACUGUCUCGGAGAGGGGCUCGGUGAAAUAGACUUGUCUGUGAAGAUGCGGACUACCUGCACCAGGACAGAAAGACCCUAUGAAGCUUUACUGUAACUUGAAAUUGAAAUUGGACUUUAUUCGCGCAGUAUAGGUGGGAGGCGUUGAUUAUAAUCUUGUGGGAUUAUUGGAGCCAUCAGUGAGAUACCACUCUUGUAAUGUUAGAUUUCUAACUUUGAAUCAUUAUCUGGUCAAAGAACAGUUUCAGGCGGGCAGUUUGACUGGGGCGGUCGCCUCCUAAACGGUAACGGAGGCGUACAAAGGUUUCCUCUGAACGGUUAGAAAUCGUAUCUAGAGUGUAAAGGCAUAAGGAAGCUUGACUGUGAGACCUACAAGUCGAGCAGGGACGAAAGUCGGUCUUAGUGAUCUGACGGUACUGAGUGGAAAGGCCGUCACUCAACGGAUAAAAGUUACUCUAAGGAUAACAGGCUGAUCUCCCCCAAGAGUUCACAUCGACGGGGAGGUUUGGCACCUCGAUGUCGGCUCAUCGCAUCCUGGGGCGGUAGUACGUCCCAAGGGUUGGGCUGUUCGCCCAUGAAAGCGGUACGCGAGCUGGGUUCAGAACGUCGUGAGACAGUUCGGUCCAUAUCCGGUGUAGGCGUUAGAAUAUUGAGAGGAGCCUUCUUUAGUACGAGAGGACCGAGAAGGACAUACCUCUGGUGUACCAGUUAUCGUGCCAACGGUAAACGCUGGGUAGCUAUGUAUGGAGUGGAUAACCGCUGAAAGCAUCUAAGUGGGAAGCCCACCUCAAGAUAAGUAUUCUCGU